rnacentral:rRNA from 1 species
AGUGAACGCUGGCGGUAGGCCUAACACAUGCAAGUCGAACGGCAGCACAGUAAGAGCUUGCUCUUACGGGUGGCGAGUGGCGGACGGGUGAGGAAUACAUCGGAAUCUAGUUUUUCGUGGGGGAUAACGUAGGGAAACUUACGCUAAUACCGCAUACGACCUACGGGUGAAAGCAGGGGAUCUUCGGACCUUGCGCGAUUGAAUGAGCCGAUGUCGGAUUAGCUAGUUGGCGGGGUAAAGGCCCACCAAGGCGACGAUCCGUAGCUGGUCUGAGAGGAUGAUCAGCCACACUGGAACUGAGACACGGUCCAGACUCCUACGGGAGGCAGCAGUGGGGAAUAUUGGACAAUGGGCGCAAGCCUGAUCCAGCCAUACCGCGUGGGUGAAGAAGGCCUUCGGGUUGUAAAGCCCUUUUGUUGGGAAAGAAAAGCAGCAGGUUAAUACCCCGCUGUUCUGACGGUACCCAAAGAAUAAGCACCGGCUAACUUCGUG